rnacentral:rRNA from 1 species
AUUGAACGCUGGCGGCAGGCCUAACACAUGCAAGUCGAACGAGUGGCGGACGGGAGAGUAAUGUCUGGGAAACGGCCUGAUGGAGAGGGAUAACUACUGGAAACUGUAGAUAAUACCGCAUACCAUCAGCUGUGCCCAAGUGGGAUUAGCUUGUUGGUGGGGUAAAGGCUCACCAAGAAGACGAUCCCUCGCUGGUCGGAGAGGAUGACCAGCCACCCGGGAACUGAGACACGUGCCAGACUCCUACGGGAGGCAGCAGUGGGGAAUAUUGCACAAUGGGCGCAAGCCUGAUGCAGGCAUGCGGCGUGUAUGAAGAAGGCCUUCGGGUUGUAAAGUACUUUCAGCUGGGAGGCGUUACCAGCAGAAGAAGCACCGGCUAACUCCGUGCCAGCAGCCGCGGUAAUUC